rnacentral:ncRNA from 1 species
AACCGCCGUAUACGGAACCGUACGUACGGUGGUGUGAGAGGACGACUAGUCAAUUAAUGACUAGUCUCCUACUCGAU